UACGUAGGGUGCGAGCGUUAAUCGGAAUUACUGGGCGUAAAGUGUGCGCAGGCGGCAGAGCAAGUCGAGUGUGAAAGCCCCGGGCUUAACUUGGGAAUUGCGCUCGAAACUACUUUGCUGGAGUGUGGCAGAGGAAGGUGGAAUUCCACGUGUAGCGGUGAAAUUCGUAGAUAUGGGGAGGAACACCGGUGGCGAAGGCGGCCAUCUGGACGGAUACUGACGCUGAGACGCGAAAGCGUGGGUAGCAAACAGG
rnacentral:rRNA from 1 species